ACAGGCCACAGCCCGCAGCCACGGCACCCCCAUCCUCCGCCGCCGGCGCCGCCCAGCUCCCCGUCCCCCCGGCCGCGCCUACGAACAAGCGCGGGCGCCGUUCCGCGAACCGGAGCACCGUGAGAGCCAACCACUGGCCGCCGCUGACCACCUAGAGCCCCAGCUCCCUCUCCGCCAGCGGCGAUGACCUCGGCGCACUCCAAGCUCUACUCCGAUGACGUCAGCCUCGUCGUGGUGGUCGUCGACACCAACCCCUUCUUCUGGGCCGGCGCCGCGCUCCCCUUCGCCGACUUCUUGUCCCACCUGAUCCACUUCGUGAACUCGCUCCUGCUGCUGAGCAACCUCAACCACGUGGUCAUCAUCGCAGCGGGUGUCAGCUCCUGCGCCUACGUCUUCGACUCGGGCAAUGCUGGUGCCUCCGGCGCGGCAGAUGUUGCUGAAACCUUAGGCAAGGCGAGCCGCAAGAUGGAGGAGUUCAUUAAGCAGGAUGCCCGUGAGACUGCCAGCAAUGGCACCGUUGCUGAUGGCGGUGCGGCGUCGCUGUUUUCUGGCGCGCUGUCCCUUGCUCUGUGCUAUAUACAGAGGAUUUUUCGGUCUGGUACUCGGCAUCCCCAACCUCGGAUUUUGUGCCUGCAGGGUUCUCCAGACGGACCUGAACAAUAUGUGGCUGUGAUGAAUUCGAUAUUUUCGGCUCAACGAUCCAUGGUUCCAAUCGAUACAUGUAUUGUGGGGACCCAAGACUCCGCUUUCUUGCAGCAGGCUUCAUAUAUAACAGGAGGAGUUUAUAUGAAGCCCCAAGAACUAAGUGGUCUAUUUCAAUACCUUGCUGCUGUAUUUGCAACGGACUUACACUCCAGAACUUUUCUGCGCCUCCCUAAGACCCUGGGAGUAGAUUUCCGUGCCUCAUGUUUCUGCCACAAGAAGACUAUAGACAUGGGAUAUGUUUGUUCAGUUUGCUUGUCAAUAUUCUGCAAGUAUCAUAAGAAAUGUUCAACUUGUGGGUCAGAAUUCAGCCGUGUCAGCAUGCCUGAUUUAAACUCCUUGCCAGAUCAAAGGCAGUAGUAAUCUGUAAACAGGAAAAUGCCAGACUGCACAUUGUUUCUUCACAGAUGCUGAAUCAUUGCGAGGAGGGGAUCAUGUGUGUGUAUUCAAAGGGCUGCCGAUGUAUUAACUACUAGGGAAACUGGAGUGCAGUUUUGUUGGACAUUAUCCCGAGUGAAGAAUGCGCAUUAGCUUUGGUACAAUUUCAUUCUUCUUUGGGAGCUUCGCCCUGAACCUGUAACCCUUGAAACCUUGUGAAACUGAUGCAAAACAAUGAUGGAAAUUAGAUAACUUAUUAUAUUCCACUCUUCUUUGGGAGCUUUGCUCUGAACCUGUAACCCUUAAAAUCUUGCUAAGCUGGUGCAAAACAAUGUUGGGAAUUACAUGACUUGUUAUAACAGCUUGAUCGAGGAAAUAAGACUGUCUAAGUAUCUUUUUGGG
rnacentral:rRNA from 1 species